rnacentral:rRNA from 1 species
GACGAACGCUGGCGGCGUGCUUAACACAUGCAAGUCGAACGGAAAGGCCCUGCUUUUGUGGGGUGCUCGAGUGGCGAACGGGUGAGUAACACGUGAGUAACCUGCCCUUGACUUUGGGAUAACUUCAGGAAACUGGGGCUAAUACCGUAUAGGAGCUCCUGCUGCAUGGGGGUGGUUGGAAAGUUUCGGCGGUUGGGGAUGUACUCGCGGCUUAUGAGCCUGUUGGUGGGGUAGUGGCGUACCAAGGCUUUGACGGGUAGCCGGCCUGAGAGGGUGACCGGCCACAUUGGGACUGAGAUACGGCCCAGACUCGUACGGGAGGCAGCAGUGGGGAAUAUUGCACAAUGGGGGGAAGCCUGAUGCAGCAACGCCGCGUGCGGGAUGACGGCCUUCGGGUUGUAAACCGCUUUCGCCUGUGACGAAGCGUGAGUGACGGUAAUGGGUAAAGAAGCACCGGCUAACUACGUG